AGUGAACGCUGGCGGCAGGCCUAACACAUGCAAGUCGAACGGCAGCACAGUAAGAGCUUGCUCUUACGGGUGGCGAGUGGCGGACGGGUGAGGAAUACAUCGGAAUCUACUUUUUCGUGGGGGAUAACGUAGGGAAACUUACGCUAAUACCGCAUACGACCUACGGGUGAAAGCAGGGGAUCUUCGGACCUUGCGCGAUUGAAUGAGCCGAUGUCGGAUUAGCUAGUUGGCGGGGUAAAGGCCCACCAAGGCGACGAUCCGUAGCUGGUCUGAGAGGAUGAUCAGCCACACUGGAACUGAGACACGGUCCAGACUCCUACGGGAGGCAGCAGUGGGGAAUAUUGGACAAUGGGCGCAAGCCUGAUCCAGCCAUACCGCGUGGGUGAAGAAGGCCUUCGGGUUGUAAAGCCCUUUUGUUGGGAAAGAAAAGCAGCAGGUUAAUACCCCGCUGUUCUGACGGUACCCAAAGAGUAAGCACCGGCUAACUUCGUG
rnacentral:rRNA from 1 species